GGGUCUAUCCAUUGGUCGGGCUUUACGGUCCGUACUGGUUCGAUGGGUUCCUACCUUCUGAAUAACCGGCAUGCCAUUCAGUUGGUGCGCCGGGGAAGCAGAGCUAUUACCUUGAAAAAAUUAGAGUGCAUAAAGCAGGCUAUUGCUUGAAUAGAUUAGCAUGGAAUAAUAAAAUAGGACGGCAUGGUUCUAUUUUGUUGGUUUCUAGAAUCACCGUA
rnacentral:rRNA from 1 species